rnacentral:rRNA from 1 species
CAUCCAAGGAAGGCAGCAGGCGCGCAAAUUACCCAAUCCCGAUACGGGGAGGUAGUGACAAUAAAUACUGAUACGGGGCUCUUUUGGGUCUCGUAAUUGGAAUGAGAACAAUUUAAAUCCCUUAACGAGGAUCAAUUGGAGGGCAAGUCUGGUGCCAGCAGCCGCGGUAAUUCCAGCUCCAAUAGCGUAUAUUAAAGUUGUUGCAGUUAAAAAGCUCGUAGUUGAACCUUGGGUCUGGCUGGCCGGUCCGCCUCACCGCGAGUACUGGUCCGGCUGGACCUUUCCUUCUGGGGAACCUCAUGGCCUUCACUGGCUGUGGGGGGAACCAGGACUUUUACUGUGAAAAAAUUAGAGUGUUCAAAGCAGGCCUUUGCUCGAAUACAUUAGCAUGGAAUAAUAGAAUAGGACGUGCGGUUCUAUUUUGUUGGUUUCUAGGACCGCCGUAAUGAUUAAUAGGGAUAGUCGGGGGCGUCAGUAUUCAGCUGUCAGAGGUGAAAUUCUUGGAUUUGCUGAAGACUAACUACUGCGAAAGCAUUCGCCAAGGAUGUUUUCAUUAAUCAGGGAACGAAAGUUAGGGGAUCGAAGACGAUCAGAUACCGUCGUAGUCUUAACCAUAAACUAUGCCGACUAGGGAUCGGACGGGCUUCUAUGAUGACCCGUUCGGCACCUUACGAGAAAUCAAAG